GGGCAUGUAGCUCAGUGGUAGAGCAGCCCACCAGCCGGGGGCUUGUCCUUGGUUCGAUUCUUAGCCUUUCCA
rnacentral:tRNA from 1 species